rnacentral:rRNA from 1 species
GUGGGGAAUCUUCCGCAAUGGACGAAAGUCUGACGGAGCGACGCCGCGUGAGUGAAGAAGGCCUUCGGGUCGUAAAGCUCUGUCAUCAGGGACGAACGGCCGGUGGAGUGGAAAGCCACCGGAUUGACGGUACCUGAGAAGGAAGCCACGGCUAACUACGUGCCAGCAGCCGCGGUAAUACGUAGGUGGCAAGCGUUGUUCGGGAUUAUUGGGCGUAAAGCGCGCGCAGGUGGGAUCUUAAGUCCAUUUUUAAAGUUCGGAGCUCAACUCCGUGAUGGGAUGGAAACUGGGAUUCUUGAGUACCGGAGAGGAAAGCGGAAUUCCCCGUGUAGCGGUGAAAUGCGUAGAUAUGGGGAGGAACACCAGUGGCGAAGGCGGCUUUCUGGACGGUGUCUGACACUGAGGCGCGAAAGCCAGGGGAGCGAACGGGAUUAGAAACCCCGGUAGUCC